AUUGAACGCUAGCGGGAUGCUUUACACAUGCAAGUCGAACGGAGUGGCGGACGGGUGAGUAAUAUAUCGGUACGUGCCCAGUAGAGGGGGAUGACUACGCGAAAGAGUGUCUAAUACCGCAUACUAUUCGAGCGGCCGUGAGCGGAUUAGCUAGUUGGUGGGGUAAAGGCUCACCAAGGCAACGAUCCGUAGCUGGUUUGAGAGGACGACCAGCCACACUGGGACUGAGACACGGCCCAGACUCCUACGGGAGGCAGCAGUGUGGAAUUGUGGACAAUUGGGGAAACCCUGAUCCAGCCAUCCCGCGUGUAUGAUGAAGGCCUUCGGGUUGUAAAGGACUUUUGGCAGAGUAGCGGUAUCUGCAGAAUAAGCACCGGCUAACUACGUGCCAGCAGCCGCGGUAAUUC
rnacentral:rRNA from 1 species